AACGAACGCUGGCGGCGUGGAUAAGACAUGCAAGUCGGACGGGACUAUUUCUAGUAGCAAUACCGGGAAUAGUUUAGUGGCGAACGGGUGCUUAACACGUGGGCAACCUGCCAGGAAGUGGGGGAUAGCUCGCCGAAAGGCGAAUUAAUACCGCAUGUGAUUAGAGAGGACAUCCUUUCGGAAUUAAAAUCGGGGCAACCUGAUGCUUCUUGCGGGGCCCGCGGCCUAUCAGCUAGUUGGUGAGGUAACGGCCCACCAAGGCUUUGACGGGUAGCUGGUCUGAGAGGACGACCAGCCACACUGGGACUGAGACACGGCCCAGACACCUACGGGUGGCAGCAGUCGAGAAUUUUUGACAAUGGGGGAAACCCUGAUCGAGCGACGCCGCGUGGAGGAUGAAGGUCUUCGGAUUGUAAACUCCUGUCAUUGGGGAACAAUGCACAGAUAUUAACUGCAUUUGUGUUGAUAGUACCCGAAGAGGAAGAGACGGCUAACUCUGUGCCAGCCGCCGCGGUAAGAC
rnacentral:rRNA from 1 species